rnacentral:rRNA from 1 species
UACAGAGGGGGCAAGCGUUGUUCGGAAUUACUGGGCGUAAAGGGCGCGUAGGCGGCCUGCUAAGUCGAACGUGAAAUCCCCGGGCUUAACCCGGGAACUGCGUCCGAUACUGGUUGGCUUGAAUUCGGGAGAGGGAUGCGGAAUUCCAGGUGUAGCGGUGAAAUGCGUAGAUAUCUGGAGGAACACCGGUGGCGAAGGCGGCAUCCUGGACCGGCAUUGACGCUGAGGCGCGAAAGCGUGGGGAGCAAACGGG